UACGUAGGGUGCGAGCGUUGUCCGGAAUUAUUGGGCGUAAAGAGCUCGUAGGCGGCCAGUUGCGUCUGCUGUGAAAUCCCGGGGCUCAACCCCGGGCGUGCAGUGGAUACGGGCUGGCUAGAGGCAGGCAGGGGAGAACGGAAUUCCCGGUGUAGCGGUGAAAUGCGCAGAUAUCGGGAGAACACCGGUGGCGAAGGCGGUUCUCUGGGCCUGUACUGACGCUGAGGAGCGAAAGCGUGGGGAGCGAACAGG
rnacentral:rRNA from 1 species